UAAGGAAUAUUGGUCAAUGGACGCAAGUCUGAACCAGCCAUGCCGCGUGAAGGAUGAAGGUCCUCUGGAUUGUAAACUUCUUUUAUCUGGGACGAAAACGGGAUUUUUAUCUCAAUUGACGGUACCAGAGGAAUAAGCACCGGCUAACUCCGUGCCAGCAGCCGCGGUAAUACGGAGGGUGCGAGCGUUAUCCGGAUUUACUGGGUUUAAAGGGUGCGUAGGUGGGCUUAUAAGUCAGUGGUGAAAUCUCCGAGCUUAACUUGGAAACUGCCGUUGAUACUAUAGGUCUUGAAUUAUCUGGAGGUCAGCGGAAUAUGUCAUGUGGCGGUGAAAUGCUUAGAUAUGACAUAGAACACCAAUUGCGAAGGCAGCUUACUACAUAUAAAUUGACGCUGAGGCACGAAAGCGUGGGGAUCAAACA
rnacentral:rRNA from 1 species